rnacentral:sRNA from 1 species
GAAUUUUUUUUUUGGCGGGAAACUUUUUUUUCGAAAUUUUUGGCGGGAAGUUUUUUCCGAAAUUUUUUGGCGAAAAAUUUUAUUUUAGAAUAUUUUAGGCGAAAAAUAUUAAUACUUCAUUUUAUUAACCUAAAUCAAUUUACAAAUAGGGGUAAAAUAGUCAUUAAAAAUUUAAAGAGGUUAUAAAUGAAAAUAGUAAAUAGAAAAAUGUAGAAUUAAAAAGGGGUAAUGUGAAAAGGGCAUUAGAAAGAAUUUUUUUUU